CAUGUCUUAUCCUUCACAAAUUCAAGAGAGACGCUUCAUUGAGAUUGGUGGCUCACAAUCUACGACUAAUUCUAGUCGCUGAAUUGAAGUGCUACAAAGGUCUAAGUUCAGUUUGACCAACUCGCACAGAUAAAAGUAUGAGAUAAAAUGGAUUCGGUUGUUCUGGCUACCGUUCAAACUCACGAGGCCUUACAAUCCAUGCUGGACAAGGCCAAAAUCAGUGCACAGAAAGAUCGAGACGACUUCCUCUCAACACCAGGCCCACAUGUUGGCGGAGCAAUCGGUGUGUACUCGAAAUUAUUAAGGUCCAUGUCUUUGGAAUCCCGGGAAGAGUUGAUGGGGUUUUGGUCCAAAAACGGCCAGAAUAGAAAACUCACCGAGGCUGUGGAGAAACUUUGGGAGGUUGAAGAUGAUUGGGACUCCUUUUUGGAGGAGCUAGACAAGGAGACUUUGCGGGAAGGAGGAGAUCCUGCUAAGGAACUGCUGUCGGUAGGAUCUGAAGCCCCCGGCCAUGUUGAGUUGUUCAACGUCAGAGAUCAGCAAAACACAAGCCUUCAGGGUUUGAUAGACCACUUGGAUCCAAAC